GUCGAGGGGCAUCAGGAAGAAAGCUUGCUUUCUUUGCUGGCGACCGGCGCACGGGUGAGUAACACGUAUCCAACCUGCCCUUUACUCGGGGAUAGCCUUUCGAAAGAAAGAUUAAUACCCGAUAGCAUAAUGAUUCCGCAUGGUUUCAUUAUUAAAGGAUUCCGGUAAAGGAUGGGGAUGCGUUCCAUUAGGUUGUUGGUGAGGUAACGGCUCACCAAGCCUUCGAUGGAUAGGGGUUCUGAGAGGAAGGUCCCCCACAUUGGAACUGAGACACGGUCCAAACUCCUACGGGAGGCAGCAGUGAGGAAUAUUGGUCAAUGGGCGUUAGCCUGAACCAGCCAAGUAGCGUGAAGGAUGAAGGCUCUAUGGGUCGUAAACUUCUUUUAUAUAAGAAUAAAGUGCAGUAUGUAUACUGUUUUGUAUGUAUUAUAUGAAUAAGGAUCGGCUAACUCCGUGCCAGCAGCCGCGGUAAUACGGAGGAUCCGAGCGUUAUCCGGAUUUAUUGGGUUUAAAGGGAGCGUAGGUGGACUGGUAAGUCAGUUGUGAAAGUUUGCGGCUCAACCGUAAAAUUGCAGUUGAUACUGUCAGUCUUGAGUACAGUAGAGGUGGGCGGAAUUCGUGGUGUAGCGGUGAAAUGCUUAGAUAUCACGAAGAACUCCGAUUGCGAAGGCAGCUCACUGGACU
rnacentral:rRNA from 1 species